AAUGAACGCUGGCGGCAGGCCUAAACAUGCAAGUCGAACGCUGUAGCAAUACAGAGUGGCGCACGGGUGAGUAACAUGUGGGAAUAUGCCUAUUGGUACGGAACAACGUUUGGAAACGAACGCUAAUACCGUAUGGUCCCUUCGGGGUAAAGAUUUAUCGCCAAUAGAUUAGCCCGCACUAGAUUAGCUAGUUGGUGAGGUAAGAGCUCACCAAGCCGACGAUCGGUAGCUGGUCUGAGAGGAUGAUCAGCCACACUGGGACUGAGAUACGGCCCAGACUCCUACGGGAGGCAGCAGUGGGAAUAUUGGACAAUGGGGGCAACCCUGAUCCAGCAAUGCCGCGUGAGUGAUGAAGGCCUUAGGGUUGUAAAGCUCUUUUGCCAGGGAAGAUGAUGACUGUACCUGGAGAAUAAGCCCGGCUAACUCGUGCCAGCAGCCGCGGUAAU
rnacentral:rRNA from 1 species